rnacentral:rRNA from 1 species
AGUGUGCUCCAAAUUCACUUGAUUGUGAUGUUGUCCAUAGAGGGUGUUAGACCCGUUGGAGUGUGCCAAGCAGUUAUUGAUAUUUCCUAUGAGUCGGAUUGUUUGAGAAUGCAGUCCAAAUUUGGUGGUAAACUCCAUCUAAGGCUAAAUACUUGUGUGAGUCCGAUAGCAAACAAGUACCGUGAGGGAAAGUUGAAAAGAACUUUGAAGAGAGAGUUAAAUAGUACGUGAAAUCGCUUAGAGGUAAACGAGUGGAGCCGAAAAUGUUGUAUGGGAUUCAGUUGUGUCAGUGAUAAUGAUUGUUGUCUGGUAAAAUCUCACUAGGAAUUACCGGAUCGAUAUGUUUGUUAUUGGCGUAAUGCACUUUCCAUAUGACUGAACUGUGACCAAUAGAAUUGUUUCUCUGUCGUAAUAAUGAAGGUGAUCAUUUGUUCGCAAAUGGUUUUAUAGCUUAUUACAUGGUUAAACGUAAUGUAUUGGUGAAUACGAUUAGUUAAUAUUGAUGAUUGGUUAUAUAUGUUAUUUGGUAGUAGACUCAUUGUAGACUAUUAUCAGGUGAUGUGUGUGAUUUUAUUGUUGAUGGAUUAAUCUAAAGUCACAGUGUAUAUGUAGGUUAUCUACUUGUCCCGUCUUGAAACACGGACCAAGGAGUUUUAUAUGAUCGUAAGUCAAAGGGCUGUACGAAACCCCMCGGCAUAAUUAAUGUAAAGGUUUACUUUUGUAGAMUGAGAUGUGACCUGAAUUGGAUCAAACUGAUUCAGUGCAACAUCUACCCGUCUAAAGGUGUUCGCAUCUGGGCGGAGUUUGAACGAUCAUGUAGAGACCCGAAAGAUGGUGAACUAUGCUUGUGCAGGUUGAAGUCAGAGGAAACUCAGAUGGAGGACCGCCGCGGGUCUGACGUGCAAAUCGAUCGUCGGACAAGAGUACUUCGGCGA